UAGGUACAGAUCUCUGGUUUGAUGGACAGU
rnacentral:piRNA from 1 species